rnacentral:rRNA from 1 species
GACGAACGCUGGCGGCGUGCUUAACACAUGCAAGUCGAGCGGUAAGGCCCUUUCGGGGGUACACGAGCGGCGAACGGGUGAGUAACACGUGGGUGACCUGCCCUCAGCUCUGGGAUAAGCCUGGGAAACCGGGUCUAAUACUGGAUAUGACUCCAUGACGCAUGUUGUGGGGUGGAAAGCCUUGUGCGGCUGAGGAUGGGCCCGNGGCCUAUCAGCUUGUUGGUGGGGUGANGGCCUACCAAGGCGACGACGGGUAGCCGGCCUGAGAGGGCGACCGGCCACACUGGGACUGAGACACGGCCCAGACUCCUACGGGAGGCAGCAGUGGGGAAUCUUGCGCAAUGGGCGAAAGCCUGACGCAGCGACGCCGCGUGAGGGAUGACGGCCU